GCCGGGCGUGUUGGCACACGCCUGUAGUCCCAGCUACUCGGGAGGCUGAGGCAGGAGAAUUGCUUGAACCCGGGAGGCAGAGGUUGCAGUGAGCUGAGAUCAUGCCACUGCACUCCAGCCUGGGUGACAGAGCAAGACUCUGUCACAG
rnacentral:SRP_RNA from 1 species